rfam:Felis catus isolate Cinnamon breed Abyssinian chromosome C1, whole genome shotgun sequence.
GCCUGGGUGGCUCAGUCGGUUAAGCGUCUGACUUUGGCUCAGGUCAUGAUCUCACGGUUCGUGGGUUCAAGCCCCGCGUGGGGCU